rnacentral:rRNA from 1 species
GAACGGAGAUAUUCGCUGAUGAAGUACUUCGGUAAUGAAUCUUGGAUAUCUUAGUGGCGGACGGGUGAGUAACGCGUGAGCAACCUGCCUUUCAGAGGGGGAUAACGUUUGGAAACGAACGCUAAUACCGCAUGACAUUAUCUUAUCGCAUGGUAGGAUAAUCAAAGGAGCAAUCCGCCGAAAGAUGGGCUCGCGUCCGAUUAGGUAGUUGGUGGGGUAACGGCCCACCAAGCCGACGAUCGGUAGCCGGACUGAGAGGUUGGACGGCCACAUUGGGACUGAGACACGGCCCAGACUCCUACGGGAGGCAGCAGUAAGGGAUAUUGGUCAAUGGGGGAAACCCUGAACCAGCAACGCCGCGUGAGGGAAGACGGUUUUCGGAUUGUAAACCUCUGUCCUCUGUGAAGAUGAUGACGGUAGCAGAGGAGGAAGCUCCGGCUAACUACGUGCCAGCAGCCGCGGUAAUACGUAGGGAGCGAGCGUUGUCCGGAUUUACUGGGUGUAAAGGGUGCGUAGGCGGCUUGGCAAGUCAGUAGUGAAAUCCAUGGGCUUAACCCAUGAACUGCUAUUGAAACUGUCGAGCUUGAGUGAAGUAGAGGUAGGCGGAAUUCCCGGUGUAGCGGUGAAAUGCGUAGAGAUCGGGAGGAACACCAGUGGCGAAGGCGGGCUACUGGGCUUUAACUG